GGGGAAUUAGCUCAAAUGGCAGAGCGUCCGCUUCGCAUGCGGAAGGCACGGGGAUCAAUACCCCGAUUCUCCA